GUCUCUAUGGCGCAAUCGAUUUAUCGCGUACGGCUGUUAACUGAAAGGUUGGUGGUUCAAGCCCACCCAGGGAUG
rnacentral:tRNA from 1 species